rnacentral:rRNA from 1 species
UUAGUUAGUUGGUGGGUAAAGGCCUACCAAGACAAUGAUGCAUAGCCGAGUUGAGAGACUGAUCGGCCACAUUGGGACUGAGACACGGCCCAAACUCCUACGGGAGGCUGCAGUAGGGAAUCUUCCACAAUGGGCGAAAGCCUGAUGGAGCAACGCCGCGUGUGUGAUGAAGGCUUUCGGGUCGUAAAGCACUGUUGUAUGGGAAGAAAAGUUAAGGUAGGGAAUGACCUUAGCCUGACGGUACCAUACCAGAAAGGGACGGCUAAAUACGUGCCAGCAGCCGCGGUAAUACGUAUGUCCCGAGCGUUAUCCGGAUUUAUUGGGCGUAAAGCGAGCGCAGACGGUUGGUUAAGUCUGAUGUGAAAGCCCGGAGCUCAACUCCGGAAAGGCAUUGGAAACUGGUUAACUUGAGUGCAGUAGAGGUAAGUGGAACUCCAUGUGUAGCGGUGGAAUGCGUAGAUAUAUGGAAGAACACCAGCGGCGAAGGCGGCUUACUGGACUGUAACUGACGUUGAGGCUCGAAAGUGUGGGUAGCAAACAGGAUUAGAUACCCUGGUAGUCCACACCGUAAACGAUGAACACUAGGUGUUAGGAGGUUUCCGCCUCUUAGUGCCGAAGCUAACGCAUUAAGUGUUCCGCCUGGGGAGUACGACCGCAAGGUUGAAACUCAAAGGAAUUGACGGGGACCCGCACAAGCGGUGGAGCAUGUGGUUUAAUUCGAAGCAACGCGAAGAACCUUACCAGGUCUUGACAUCCUUUGAAGCUUUUAGAAAUAGAAGUGUUCUCUUCGGAGACAAAGUGACAGGUGGUGCAUGGUCGUCGUCAGCUCGUGUCGUGAGAUGUUGGGUUAAGUCCCGCAACGAGCGCAACCCUUAUUGUUAGUUGCCAGCAUUCAGAUGGGCACUCUAGCGAGACUGCCGGUGACAAACCGGAGGAAGGCGGGGACGACGUCAGAUCAUCAUGCCCCUUAUGACCUGGGCUACACACGUGCUACAAUGGCGUAUACAACGAGUUGCCAACCUGCGAAGGUGAGCUAAUCUCUUAAAGUACGUCUCAGUUCGGACUGCAGUCUGCAACUCGACUGCACGAAGUCGGAAUCGCUAGUAAUCGCGGAUCAGCACGCCGCGGUGAAUACGUUCCCGGGUCUUGUACACACCGCCCGUCACACCAUGGAAGUUUGUAAUGCCCAAAGCCGGUGGCCUAACCGUAAGGAGGGAACCGUC